rnacentral:antisense_RNA from 1 species
CUCGGCGCCAUUUUGUCUCGGCAGCGGUGGCCGUAGCUCCAUCGCAUUUUAUGUUUCUGGCGAGAAGGGAACGGAGUUUUCAUCAGGUAGAUUGGUUUUUGUGCAGCCGUCCUCCACCGUUUCCUCCAGGACAGCACCUAGUCGUGGCCGGAAGAGUCUCAGAGCUGUCAGAAAGAAUAAGACUGAUUUUAUGGGAAAAUUAAGCAAAUGCUCCAGUUUGAAAAACCUGGAUCUGCGAUCUGUUUGUGAGUGGUGUUCAGUUAACAGAACAAUUAUUUCGUAUAAGCCACAUCAGAGACGACUGAAGAUGAAAAAACUACCAUCCCCAUAUAUAACUAAUUUGUGCUGUGCACCAACAAGAACCUGCUUUAAAUUUCCAUGGCAAUUUACAACCCCCAUACUGUACCAGGCAAGGUACCAGCAUCAAGAUGAUUUAUGGUAAUAAGAUAUAAAACCAAGGAAAAUAACCUAGAGUCUGAAAAAGACCAGAAUCGAGAUUUCCUGAUUCAUAUUUUAAUGUUUUGAAAUUUAUACUCCAGGCCGGGUGCAGUGGCUUGCGCCUGUAAUCCCAGCACUUUGGGAGGCCGAGGUGGCCGGAUUGCCUGAGGUCAGAAGUUCAAGACCAGCCUGACCGACAUGGUGAAACCCUGUCUCUACUUAAAAUACAAAAGAGCCGGGCAUGGAGGUCGUGCGCGCCUGUAACCCUAGCUACCCGGGAGGCUGAGGCGUAAGAAUCUCUUGAACCCAGGUGGCAGAGGUUGUAGUGAGCCGGAAUCACGCCACUGCACUCUAGCCUGGGCGACAGAGAGAGACUGUCUCAAAAAAAAAGGAAAAGAAAAAAAUUUAUACGCCAAAAAAGAUAUUCUGAGAUAACCUGUAGUUACCACUAACUUUGUGAUAAAAUUAUAAAAAUCCACAGCCAUCUAUGAAUCUAUAGGCAAACCUGACGUUUGAACGACUGGUGAAGACAUCUGAUUUUCUUUAUAGCCAAGUUAGGAUAACAAAAUGCAAACAAAUCAUUAAUAUCUACUAUAUGCAAGAUAUAGAAAGAUGAAGGAAGGCGUAAGAAAUUAUCCUUCGUGGAACUAUUCAAAGCAAAAAUGCAAAAUACCAGGGAAGACUUUGAAGAACCAAGAUUUGAGCAGGUUCUUAGAAUAUAGAUUGGAUUGGAUUUGAUUUCAAGAAAGAUGAACGUAUAAAGCAGAAGUGGGAAACCAAAAGCUUUUUUCCAAAUUAGAAUUAAGCAUUCUUUCAAUGAACACUUGGAAAUCAAGGUAGAAAAAUACCCCUAGGGCCUAGCUGAGGAGUCUGUAUGUCGUUGGGUUUUGAUAGUAACCAGUGCAAGAUUUUAUUAUUAGACGUGGGUUUCUGAAUAGACAGGCAUUUCUGAACAGACAUGACAGGAUCAAAACAAUGUUUGAGCAAAGUGCCCUUCAUCUAUUGUGGAUACGUUGGGGGAUGAUGGAAUAUAGUGAAAGAUAAUGGGUGCUCAUACAGCAGUCUAGACUUAAGGUGAUUCAACUGCUAUAUAUUUAAACUAGAUUAUCUUUUUUUUUUUAAUUUUGAAAUCUGGAUGCUCAAGCUCUGCCUGCACAACCACAUGAGGAAGAAGGAACAAUGACAACAACAAAAAUAACACUAAAUUUAAAUUUAAGAAUACAAAUUUUAGGAAAUAGACAAACUAUUAUUUGGGUACAACUAAAGGCAACUGGCAUAGACUCAAAUAUUUGGGGGAAGAAAAAGACUAAAAGAGAUCUAAGGAAGAAAAUGUGAACCUCGUUAGUUUGAAACAGUUAAAAAGACAGUGUAGAAACUGCUUAGGCAGUUUGAUUAUGGGACUAUUAGAUGAUACCUGGGUCUGAUAAUGGUAUAAGGAGAAUAAAGUAUUUAGGGAUCCAAUAUUACGCCUGCAGCUUUUUUCAAAUAGUUCAUGGGGGAGGGGGAUGUGUAAGUGGUUAACUGAAGUCUAACUAGAUAGGUUUGUUGUAAGCUUAUGAUGUUUACAGUUCUUCAUGUUAAGUUGAGGGUGAUGGGAAGGGAAAGAAACUGAUCUUUAAAUUUUUGUCCUUAUUAGUUAAGUUCUGUAUUUAGUGAAUUAAUUGCAUCCUAAAAAGUCAAACUUGAAAAGCACAUUUUAAAUGGCAAAUAUAUUUUUUAUAUAUGUUUGUGAAGUUUUUAUUUUUUGGUAAACAGACCAUCAGAAGAGAACAAUGAUACAGAGGCAGGGGUCAGCAGAUGGAUUUUGUAAAGUAUCAACUUGUAAAUAUUUUCAAGUUUAUUAGCUGUAUGGCUCUGGUUUCUGUUCCGUGUUCCAAAUGUUAAAGUCUACUGUUGUAUUCUAAAAGCAGCCAUGGACUGAAUGUAGCUGUGUUCCAAUAAAACUUACACAAAAGCAGGCAGUGGGCCAUAAUUUGCAACACCUGAUUCACAGCAUAAUUUUGUCACAAACUGAAAGUGUUCCUCAAUUAAAGUGAUUUUUUUUUCUUGA